CAGCAGCCGCGGGAAUACGUAGGGUGCGAGCGUUGUCCGGAAUUAUUGGGCGUAAAGAGCUUGUAGGUGGUUUGUCGCGUCUGCUGUGAAAAUCCGAGGCUCAACCUCGGACUUGCAGUGGGUACGGGCAGACUAGAGUGUGGUAGGGGAGACUGGAAUUCCUGGUGUAGCGGUGGAAUGCGCAGAUAUCAGGAGGAACACCGAUGGCGAAGGCAGGUCUCUGGGCCAUUACUGACACUGAGAAGCGAAAGCAUGGGGAGCGAACAGGAUUAGAUACCCGAGUAGUCCCUGUCUCUUAUAC
rnacentral:rRNA from 1 species